AAAUAGGAAGCUGUGAUAGCACCUAAUUUCGACUUAGUCUGUGGGGGUCGAAUCCCCCCCUAUUUA
rnacentral:tRNA from 1 species